rnacentral:rRNA from 1 species
AUUGAACGCUGGCGGCAGGCUUAACACAUGCAAGUCGAGCGAGCGGCGGACGGGUGCGUAAUGUCUGGGCAACUGCCUGCUGGAGGGGGAUAACUACUGGAAACGGUAGCUAAUACCGCAUACCAUCAGAUGUGCCCAGAUGGGAGUAGCUAGUAGGUGGGGUAAUGGCGCACCCAGGCGACGAUCCCUAGCUGGUCUGAGCGGAUGACCAGCAAACCUGGACCUGAGACACGGUCCGACCUCCUACGGGAGGAAGAAGUGGGGAAUAUUGGACAAUGGGCGAAAGCCUGAUGUAGCAAUGCCGCGUGUUUGAAGAAGGCCUUGGGGUUGUAAAGCACUUUCAGCGAGGAGGCGUUACUCGCAGAAGAAGCACCGGCUAACUCCGUGCCAGCAGCCGCGGUAAUUC